GCCGAAAUAGCUCAGGGGUAGAGCAACGGUUUUGUAAACCGUAGGUCGUGGGUUCGAAUCCCUCUUUCGGCU
rnacentral:tRNA from 1 species